UGCGACCCCAGGUCAGGCGGGACUAC
rnacentral:rRNA from 2 species